rnacentral:rRNA from 1 species
UUUUCGGAGAGUUUGAUCCUGGCUCAGGACGAACGCUGGCGGCGUGCCUAAUACAUGCAAGUCGAGCGAACAGAAGGGAGCUUGCUCCCGGAUGUUAGCGGCGGACGGGUGAGUAACACGUGGGUAACCUGCCUGUAAGACUGGGAUAACUCCGGGAAACCGGAGCUAAUACCGGAUAGUUCCUUGAACCACAUGGUUCAAGGAUGAAAGACGGUUUCGGCUGUCACUUACAGAUGGACCCGCGGCGCAUUAGCUAGUUGGUGGGGUAAUGGCUCACCAAGGCGACGAUGCGUAGCCGACCUGAGAGGGUGAUCGGCCACACUGGGACUGAGACACGGCCCAGACUCCUACGGGAGGCAGCAGUAGGGAAUCUUCCGCAAUGGACGAAAGUCUGACGGAGCAACGCCGCGUGAGUGAUGAAGGUUUUCGGAUCGUAAAGCUCUGUUGUUAGGGAAGAACAAGUGCGAGAGUAACUGCUCGCACCUUGACGGUACCUAACCAGAAAGCCACGGCUAACUACGUGCCAGCAGCCGCGGUAAUACGUAGGUGGCAAGCGUUGUCCGGAAUUAUUGGGCGUAAAGGGCUCGCAGGCGGUUUCUUAAGUCUGAUGUGAAAGCCCCCGGCUCAACCGGGGAGGGUCAUUGGAAACUGGGAAACUUGAGUGCAGAAGAGGAGAGUGGAAUUCCACGUGUAGCGGUGAAAUGCGUAGAGAUGUGGAGGAACACCAGUGGCGAAGGCGACUCUCUGGUCUGUAACUGACGCUGAGGAGCGAAAGCGUGGGGAGCGAACAGGAUUAGAUACCCUGGUAGUCCACGCCGUAAACGAUGAGUGCUAAGUGUUAGGGGGUUUCCGCCCCUUAGUGCUGCAGCUAACGCAUUAAGCACUCCGCCUGGGGAGUACGGUCGCAAGACUGAAACUCAAAGGAAUUGACGGGGGCCCGCACAAGCGGUGGAGCAUGUGGUUUAAUUCGAAGCAACGCGAAGAACCUUACCAGGUCUUGACAUCCUUUGACAACCCUAGAGAUAGGGCUUUCCCUUCGGGGACAGAGUGACAGGUGGUGCAUGGUUGUCGUCAGCUCGUGUCGUGAGAUGUUGGGUUAAGUCCCGCAACGAGCGCAACCCUUGAUCUUAGUUGCCAGCAUUCAGUUGGGCACUCUAAGGUGACUGCCGGUGACAAACCGGAGGAAGGUGGGGAUGACGUCAAAUCAUCAUGCCCCUUAUGACCUGGGCUACACACGUGCUACAAUGGACAGAACAAAGGGCUGCGAGACCGCAAGGUUUAGCCAAUCCCAUAAAUCUGUUCUCAGUUCGGAUCGCAGUCUGCAACUCGACUGCGUGAAGCUGGAAUCGCUAGUAAUCGCGGAUCAGCAUGCCGCGGUGAAUACGUUCCCGGGCCUUGUACACACCGCCCGUCACACCACGAGAGUUUGCAACACCCGAAGUCGGUGAGGUAACCUUUAUGGAGCCAGCCGCCGAAGGUGGGGCAGAUGAUUGGGGUGAAGUCGUAACAAGGUAGCCGUAUCGGAAGGUGCGGCUGGAUCACCUCCUUUCU